AGUAACGCGUGAGGAACCUGCCUCAAAGAGGGGGACAACAGUUGGAACGACUGCUAAUACCGCAUAAGCCCACGGCUCGGCAUCGAGCAGAGGGAAAAGGAGCAAUCCGCUUUGAGAUGGCCUCGCGUCCGAUUAGCUAGUUGGUGAGGUAACGGCCCACCAAGGCGACGAUCGGUAGCCGGACUGAGAGGUUGAACGGCCACAUUGGGACUGAGACACGGCCCAG
rnacentral:rRNA from 1 species